GAUGAACGCUGGCGGCGUGCCUAAUACAUGCAAGUCGAGCGAACGGACGAGAAGCUUGCUUCUCUGAUGUUAGCGGCGGACGGGUGAGUAACACGUGGAUAACCUACCUAUAAGACUGGGAUAACUUCGGGAAACCGGAGCUAAUACCGGAUAAUAUUUUGAACCGCAUGGUUCAAAAGUGAAAGACGGUCUUGCUGUCACUUAUAGAUGGAUCCGCGCUGCAUUAGCUAGUUGGUAAGGUAACGGCUUACCAAGGCAACGAUGCAUAGCCGACCUGAGAGGGUGAUCGCCCAAACUGGAACGUAGAACCGGUCCAAACCCCUACGGGGGGCAGCAGUAGGGAAUCUCCCGCAAGGGGAGAAAGCCUGAGGGAGCAACGCCGCGUGAGUGAUGAAGGUUUUCGGAUUGUAAAACGUUUUUAUUAGGGAAAAACAUAUGUGAAAGUAACUGUGCACAUCUUGACGAUACCUAAUAAGAAAGCCACGGCUAACUCCGU
rnacentral:rRNA from 1 species